rnacentral:rRNA from 1 species
AAUUCGCCCUUAGAGUUUGAUCCUGGCUCAGGACGAACGCUGGCGGCGUGCUUAACACAUGCAAGUCGAACGGAGGUUACGAGGAAGCUUGCGAAUUGUAACCUUAGUGGCGGACGGGUGAGUAACGCGUGGAUAACCUGCCUGACAGACCGGGACAACACCGGGAAACUGGUGCUAAUACCGGAUACGCUCAAGAGUGCCCAUGCACACUUGAGGAAAGGAGCAAUCCGCUGACAGAUGGGUCCGCGUCCCAUUAGCUAGUUGGAGGUGUAAAGGACCACCAAGGCGACGAUGGGUAGCCGGCCUGAGAGGGUGGACGGCCACACUGGAACUGAGACACGGUCCAGACUCCUACGGGAGGCAGCAGUGGGGAAUCUUCCGCAAUGGGCGAAAGCCUGACGGAGCAACGCCGCGUGAGUGAUUAAGGCCUUCGGGUUGUAAAACUCUGUCAUCAGGGAAGAAAAUAAUGACGGUACCUGAGGAGGAAGCCCCGGCUAACUACGUGCCAGCAGCCGCGGUAAAACGUAGGGGGCGAGCGUUGUCCGGAAUUACUGGGCGUAAAGGGCGCGUAGGCGGUUGUCCAAGUCAGAGGUGAAAACUCUGGGCUCAACUCAGAGCGUGCCUCUGAAACUGGGCGACUUGAGGGCAGGAGAGGGGAGUGGAAUUCCCAGUGUAGCGGUGAAAUGCGUAGAUAUUGGGAGGAACACCAGUGGCGAAGGCGACUCUCUGGCCUGUUUCUGACGCUGAGGCGCGAAAGCGUGGGGAGCGAACGGGAUUAGAUACCCCGGUAGUCCACGCCGUAAACGAUGG